CAAGGAAGUAUUCAAAUGCUCAUUAACAUAGCUUGUGUCAUGAUAAAUUUUGCAUCUCUAUAGCAACUCAUGAUGCUAAUGCUUAUUCAACAGUUCAAUUGAUAAGCUAUUGCGCAUGUACAUGAAAGGUGGCAAUAGAAAGGACAGAUGUAUUCCGAAUAACAUCCGGUGUUCCGAAAGACUACAUAUAUCGUCCAAUAUCA
rnacentral:lncRNA from 1 species